UACGUAGGUGGCGAGCGUUGUCCGGAUUUACUGGGCGUAAAGAGCGCGCAGGCGGUCGUACAAGUCGCGUGUGAAAGCCCCCGGCUCAACUGGGGAGGGUCACGCGAUACUGUUCGACUCGAAGGCAGGAGAGGGAAGUGGAAUUCCCGGUGUAGUGGUGAAAUGCGUAGAUAUCGGGAGGAACACCAGUGGCGAAGGCGACUUCCUGGCCUGUUCUUGACGCUGAGGCGCGAAAGCUAGGGUAGCAAGCGGG
rnacentral:rRNA from 1 species